AUGGGCUAGGGGUCCUCACCGGAUUACCAAACCUAAGCAAACUCUGAAUACCCAGGAGUACUAGUCGGCAGACACACGGCGGGUGCUAACGUCCGUCGUGAAAAGGGAAACAACCCUGACCAACAGCUAAGGUCCCCAAGUUAUGGCUAAGUGGGAAAGGAUGUGAGGAUCCCAAAACAACCAGGAUGUUGGCUUAGAAGCAGCCAUCAUUUAAAGAAAGCGUAACAGCUCACUGGUCUAAAUAAGGGUCUUUGCGCCUAAAAUGUAACGGGGCUAAAGCCAUACACCGAAGCUUUGGGUGCAUAGCAAUAUGCGCGGUAGCGGAGCGUUCUGUAGGCCUGUGAAGGGAGACCCGUGAGGGCUCCUGGAGGUAUCAGAAGUGCGAAUGCUGACAUGAGUAACGUAAGGAGUGUGAGAGACACUCCCGCCGAAAGACCAAGGGUUCCUGCUUAAAGUUAAUCUGAGCAGGGUUAGCCGGACCCUAAGGCGAGGCCGAAAGGCGUAGUCGAUGGGAAUCACGUUAAUAUUCGUGAGCCUGCAGGUAGUGACGGAUCAUCAAGGUAGUUCAUUCUUAUUGGAUUGAAUGGGCUGCUGCGUGGUUCCAGGAAAUAGCUCCUGCUUAUAGUCCGUACCCGAAACCGACACUGGUGGUCUGGUAGAGUAUACCAAGGCGCUUGAGAGAACUAUGCUGAAGGAACUCGGCAAAUUGCACGCGUAACUUCGGAAGAAGCGUGACCCCUUAGUACGCAAGUAUUGGGGGGUGGCACAGACCAGGGGGUAGCGACUGUUUAUCAAAAACACAGGGCUCUGCGAAGCCGCAAGGCGACGUAUAGGGUCUGACGCCUGCCCGGUGCUGGAAGGUUAAGAGGAGAGGUGCAAGCUUUGAAUCGAAGCCCC
rnacentral:rRNA from 1 species